GGAGAGAAGCCAUGUGCGCAUGUGCGACAGAGGCAGAGACUGGAGUGACGCAGCCGCGAGCCAAGGAACGCCGGGAGCCCCGGGGAGCUGGACAAGGCAGGGACACAGUCUCGCCCGGAGCCUUCGGACUGAGUGCGGCUCUGAUUUGACUUAGCACUUGUGGCCUCCAGGACGGAGUGGUGCUUUUAAACCUUAAAUAGGCGCACACCCCACGCCAUGCUGUCAAGGGCUCUCAGCCCCCCGCCACGUGUAUCUGGGAGAAGCUCCGAGGUUCUUGCUACAGUGACGUCAUCCUUUCUAACAGCUGCAGGUGCUAGAAAAUCACUCACUCCAGGCUUCAUUGCAACAGACAGAUCCUGCACUGCUUGUUCCUUUGGGGGCCUCAUCCUCCAGGAAGCCGUCCCUGACCUCCCAGGCUGAGCUGGCACCCCUCUGCAGCCCCCAUUCUACCCUCUGCUGCAGCGUGCGCCCCACUGUGCGGUCACGGCCUGUUUAUGGCCUCAGGCUGCAGCUCCCUGAGGGCAUUGUUAGAAGGACCAGAAAGCAGUUGAAGUGUGCAAAGUGAGGACAAGGUGGGUGCGCCCAUAGGUGGGUUCCUGGGGAUGCUUACGUAGCCGAGUGAUCCUCAGCCGGCCUGUGCACCCUGACUGUGCACUUGAGCCUCUGUGUGUUCUGGCGGGCCUGUACGAGGUGCGUGUGUGCAUGUCUGUGCAUGGAGCCAUGUGCAUGGCGCGUCCAUGUGCGAGUGUGCGUGUGCUCCUGGGGGCGGUCUGCAGCAAGGAAAGUCUUGCAGCAGCUGCUACAUCCGGGUCCCACCAGCCCUCACGGGGGAACUAAAAAUAGCCUGUGCCCAGCCCUGACCCAGCGGGCAGGGGGCCGAGGGGCAGCCCCGCAGGGCACCCCGGCCGGGCUGUUGCCCUCCUCCCUCCUGGGGCCACCGCCCUGCCUGCGGCCCAGUCUCGGGCUCCCAUGAGCUCAUGCCGGCCCUGGCCAGCAGGGCGGGGAGGGCAGCCCAGGGCUGAGGCCCUGCCCACGGCCGGCGCUGGACACAGGCAAGGCCUGAUAAGGUCAAGCUGGAGUGGGGUCCGCCCCUCCUCCAGCCUGGCCGCGGGCGGACGUGAGUCAGCACAGGGGGCAUCGGGCAGCCCGGCUGACGCUGCUGGCAGCAGGGGAGGCCGGGGGUGGGCCGCCCGGGCAGGGCAGGGACUGGCCAGGAGGAAUCACCUGCUGCCUCGGCCAAGCCCUGACCUCAGUCCCCACCUUGAGGACCCCACCUCCACUUCCGCCGGGAAAGCCCCUCUCAGAGGCUCCCCCGGGCUUCCUGCCCUGGUCUGGGAUCACCCCUGGCCUUGGGAGGGCUGUCGCCCACCGGGCCCCAGGGCGUCCACACGCCCCUGCCCCAAGACAUCCUCUCGGACCCCCCAGCUGGCCACGACAGACCCUGGCUGUGGAGCUGAGAAAGGGGGGCACCUGGGAGGAGCAGGGACGCUCUGAGAAGCUGGCCCCUGAGCUCUGAGCCAGCUUCCAUAACUUCUGCUCGUAUGACUCAGUUUCCUCAUCUGUAGAAUGGGCUUAUGACUGCCUGCCCUCACAGAGUUGUCACGAGGAUUGAAGGGCUCUUGGCACAUAGUAGGCCUCAUCCGGGCUAGCUCCCCUCCCACAUCCUCUCUAGCUCCCAGGGAGCUGGCCCCAGACCCCAGGACACCUGCAAAUCCCCCUUCACUUCCCAGGCUCAGAGAAUGACAGGAGGGGGACAACCGAAAAAAGCAAAAAACUGAUAUACUUGCUGAAGUGACCAACAAUCCAAACACGUCAAGGGGUGUGGAGUGAGUGGUCCCCUCCCACGCCCUCCCCCGUCCCUUUCUAGAAUAUUCUAGAGAUGGCCUAUGCAGACACAUACAAAGACAGAUUUAUAUCCUCUUCUCCACCUUAAACACACACCGCGGACGGCAGAGUUCCCUCCUGCACCCGGAGGAGGGCCUGUGUCCAUGCAUGCAGAGCCCCCUCGUUCUCAUCUGUGGUGUGUGUCCCAUCAUUACUUAGCCAGACUGUGGCCGGAAGUGCUAUUUAUUUGUCUGUUUGUUAAGACAAGGGAGCAGCUUCCCGGAAGGGUCCCUCCUCGAGUCUGCGGAGGGAGACCUGGGUCUGAGUCAGGUCUGGACGUCCCACUCAAGGGACCUGGCACAUCUUGCCUCAGUUUCCCACCUGUGAGAUGGUGGCCGCAUCCGUCAAUGAGACCGUGUUGCUACCUGCUGGCCCACAGGCUGUAUCCUGUUUAUGGAUGUGUUCUGCUCCUCAAACUUUUCCAAAAUCUGGAGAUUUCACAUUAAAAUCCAGACUUCUGGAUUCUCUUGAAAAAUUAAAUGUCUGGCAACAGCUGGCUAGAGUCAAGGAGCAGCUGCCCUCUCCGGACCGGGCGAGGGUGCUCUGCUUGGCCCAGCCCCCACUACUCUGCAUUGCUCCUCCUCAGGAGCAUCUGUGAUGCUCGCUCAGAGUUGUGCAGACACAGUGAGGGCUCUGAGCGCAGGGUCCCCAGCGGCCAGCGCAGGCCCAGUUUCACCCUCUUGCUGGAUCCUCAGGGUGUCUGGGACUCAGUAGCCAGAGCCGCUGCUGGUCCUGGAACCCAGGGCCGAGCAAGAGGCUCCAGAGUGUCCUCCUGCCAGACGGGAAGCGGAAGUGCCAUGUCCGGGAUGGGCCCUGGGUCUGGGCUCCCAGCCAGGCAGCCGUGUCCUGGGAGGCAGGAGCCGAGACUUCUUCCCUCUGCUGGAGCCGGAAGCUGGGCUCCAGGCACCUGGAGUUCUCAUCUCCUGGUCCCCAGGAUGCGGAUUCCGGCACACGACCCCCACGCCUUCCUCUUCCCCACCUACGUUUGGCAGCCACAUCCUGUAGCGGUGGGUGGGGCCCAAACAGGAGGCAGGGAUGUGGGUGGAAUCCCGGGAGACCUGAGGGGCAUCCUUUCUCAAGGGCAGUUGAAAUCUCUUCUUGGCCCCAGGGUGCCUUGGAGCACGGUUUGAAAAACACUGAUGGAGCCCUUUUGAUAGAUGGAAAAACAGAGGCCUGGAGGGGGGAAGGGGGAGAGUCAGACCCUGGGGGCCCUUGUAGUCCCCACUUCCCAAAAUCUGCUACAGGGCCUGGCAGGUGAAAUUGCACUUCACAGUGCCCCCAGCCCACCUGCCCUGGCAGCCCCCUGCUCUCAUUGUCCAGAAGGCCAGGGAGGCGUUGGGGCUCCAUGACUUCCCGUGUAGGACACCCCACAUCUGCAAGUCUCACUCGGCUGCAUCUGCCAAAUGCCCACCUCACAGGGUUGUGAGGAGCGACAGAGAUGACAAUGCGAAGAACAAGAUGGCCAGGCCUAGCAGCUCCCACUCCCUGCGCUCCGACCCGAGGCUGCACAGGCGGGCUCCGAGCGUCGCCUUGGUUAUCGAGACAGAAUUUACCUCCCAUAAAGCUCGCCCAUUUCAAGUGUGUGGUUCAAGGGUUUUCAGUGUAUUUACAGAGUUGUCCAACCAUCACCAUCUAAUUUUAGAUUGUCCCCAAAUCUAAUUUUGUCUAAUAAUGUAAAUUAGAUUGUCUAAAAAAUCUAAUUUUACAUUGUCGCAAGAAGAAAUCCAAUACUCACGAGCAGUCCCUGCCAUUCCUCUUCUCCAGGCCCCGGAAACACCAGUCUACUCUCUACGGAUUUACCGAUUUUGGACAUUUCAUACAAUGAAAUCAUAUAAUAUGCCGGCUUUUGUGACUGACUUCUUUCACCGAGCAAAGUGUCGUAGCGUGUAUCAGUACUUGAUUCUUUUUUACGGCUGGAUAAUAUUCCACCAUAUAGAUACACCAUUUUGUUUAUCCAUUCGUCCACUGAUGGACAUGUGGGUUGUUCCACUCUUUGACUGUUACGAAGAAUGCUGCCAGGAACAUCCCCGCCCAGGUCUUUGCGAGGAC
ensembl:lncRNA